rnacentral:rRNA from 1 species
UAGGUGGGAUUAGCUAGUUGGUGAGGUAAGGGCUCACCAAGGCGACGAUCCCUAGCUGGUCUGAGAGGAUGAUCAGCCACACUGGAACUGAGACACGGUCCAGACUCCUACGGGAGGCAGCAGUGGGGAAUAUUGCACAAUGGGCGCAAGCCUGAUGCAGCCAUGCCGCGUGUGUGAAGAAGGCCUUCGGGUUGUAAAGCACUUUCAGUCGUGAGGAAGGUAGUGUAGUUAAUAGCUGCAUUAUUUGACGUUAGCGACAGAAGAAGCACCGGCUAACUCCGUGCCAGCAGCCGCGGUAAUACGGAGGGUGCGAGCGUUAAUCGGAAUUACUGGGCGUAAAGCGCAUGCAGGUGGUUUGUUAAGUCAGAUGUGAAAGCCCGGGGCUCAACCUCGGAAUAGCAUUUGAAACUGGCAGACUAGAGUACUGUAGAGGGGGGUAGAAUUUCAGGUGUAGCGGUGAAAUGCGUAGAGAUCUGAAGGAAUACCGGUGGCGAAGGCGGCCCCCUGGACAGAUACUGACACUCAGAUGCGAAAGCGUGGGGAGCAAACAGGAUUAGAUACCCUGGUAGUCCACGCCGUAAACGAUGUCUACUUGGAGGUUGUGGCCUUGAGCCGUGGCUUUCGGAGCUAACGCGUUAAGUAGACCGCCUGGGGAGUACGGUCGCAAGAUUAAAACUCAAAUGAAUUGACGGGGGCCCGCACAAGCGGUGGAGCAUGUGGUUUAAUUCGAUGCAACGCGAAGAACCUUACCUACUCUUGACAUCCAGAGAACUUUCCAGAGAUGGAUUGGUGCCUUCGGGAACUCUGAGACAGGUGCU